rnacentral:rRNA from 1 species
UGUAUUUAUUAGAUUAAAAACCAAUGCCCUUCGGGGCUCUCUGGUGAUUCAUAAUAACUUCUCGAAUCGCACGGCCUUGCGCCGGCGAUGGUUCAUUCAAAUUUCUGCCCUAUCAACUUUCGACGGCUGGGUCUUGGCCAGCCGUGGUGACAACGGGUAACGGAGGGUUAGGGCUCGACCCCGGAGAAGGAGCCUGAGAAACGGCUACUACAUCCAAGGAAGGCAGCAGGCGCGCAAAUUACCCAAUCCCGACACGGGGAGGUAGUGACAAUAAAUACUGAUACAGGGCUCUUUCGGGUCUUGUAAUUGGAAUGAGUACAAUUUAAAUCCCUUAACGAGGAACAAUUGGAGGGCAAGUCUGGUGCCAGCAGCCGCGGUAAUUCCAGCUCCAAUAGCGUAUAUUAAAGUUGUUGAGGUUAAAAAGCUCGUAGUUGAACCUUGGGCCUAGCCGGCCGGUCCGCCUCACCGCGUGCACUGGCUCGGCUGGGUCUUUCCUUCUGGAGAACCGCAUGACCUUCACUGGGUGUGCCGGGGAACCAGG